AUUUUUUCCAAUAAAUUUCUAAAGCUAUAUUUUAGAAAUCAAAAAAAUAUUUGCAUUAAAACCAUUAUUCCCUUAAGUUUUUAGAGGAUUCUGUUUGACUUUGGCAUGAAUAAAUUCCAUUCUCUUAUUUGCACUGCUACUAGAUAUGAUGAGUUUUAGCAGAGAUCCUGGAACAACUGCUGCCUAUCACGGUGUGAAAUCAAUGACAUGGAGUCCUGUAGAAACUAUUUACUUUGCUAUAUCUCCUCAAUAUAUGUAUAUACAAACAAGAUCUUUGGCACUGGCUUGAAAUCCACAGCAAGAGCUCAUGGUGAACCCUUAACGGGAGCUGCGAAGGAUGAAGAGUUAGACCAAUAUACUAAUUCAUCUCGCUUCUUCCCUGUUAGCAUUGAGGUGAAUCCCUUGAUGAUAAAGCCAUAUCAUCACCUGUUUUACUCUAAACAAAGACAUUUAUAAAAAUGAGAUUAAUGAAAAGAAGAAAGAAAAAGAAGAAAAAGUAGAUCUCCACUUUUUUUUUUUUCACCUGGAGGUCCUGAUUUAUUUGGUGUGGAAUGGAGCAUUCAAAUUUCCUGUUUCCUAGGCUAACAGCAGAAAACUAUUAAAUGGAAGAAAAUAAGAUGUGAACUGAAGUGGUAGAAAAAAGUAAAUGAAAAAAAAAAAAAAAAACAGAACAGGAGACUUUGUUUUCGGCAGUUUUUUAAUUAUACAUAUAGCUCCCUCAGCAGCCACAUGAGGAGGGCCAGCUGGGUCUUUUUCCAUUCUUUGGCCGAGUAUAUUUCAAAAUAUGCUUAAGAGACUAUCACAUCCAAAUCACCAGAGAGGAGAUCGUAGCUAGUCCCAGGCUUUUUUCAAUGUAACUUAGUAAAAAUCUCUGCGAAUAGUUCCCCAAAUUCUGCAUUUUUAACAAGCUCCCUGCUUAUGGAGCUGUCUCCUUGAGUGCAGGAAGGACAGGCUGUUCUACUUUAUAACUGGGACACCAAGUACAGAUCCUGGUUCAUAGGAGGUGCCUAGAAAACACAUGAUGGGUAAAUAGUUAAAUUGAAUUAAUAACUACAAUAAGCAGUAAAACUUAAUAAUUGCUAGUAUUUUUUUAAGUUGUAUAUAUCUACUACUAGAUAUAAAUUUUGGUUGGUGG
rnacentral:lncRNA from 1 species